ensembl:lncRNA
CCGCGCACCGCGGCUCCCGGCAGCGCGAGGGCGGCCGGCCAGAGCGGUUUCAAACUUCGAAAACUGCGCUCUGAUCGCGGGAACGUACAGACUCGUGCCGCCUCGAGUCCGAUUCUCGGAGCAGGUGUCAGGCGCCCGGCUACUGCUGUGCUGUGGGCACGGCCCGUGACGGUUCUGACGAGCAGCUGGGUAGAGCUCCGGGGGCUGCAGCCACCGAGCUCAGUAAUUUCCUUUAAAAGCAACAUAAUCAGGUGUGUUUUCCCGAUUACAGACAAGUUGAGUUCUUCAGAUGUGCAUUAAACUUAAGACAGAUGUGUGCGGCCUUGCAGUAUUACAUACCGCAUUCAUACGUAGGAAUCAAGUAUGGCCGGUGUGUGAUGGCCCGCUGAGGGCUGGGAUGCUGGUGCUGCUAACAAGGGUUAGUGAUUUGGAACCCUCUUCCCAAACCUAUUUCCCACUUUUCAUACAUCAGCGAUGCAUAGAAUGCAAGUUUAGGUCACGGUGUAACUGAUUCUCCUUCUCGGAGUGCUCAGUCGAGUUGCCAGUUUUGAGUUCCAACCAAAUCCAUACACAACGUGGCUCUGUCUGUUCUGACACAGGUACUUUAAAAGCAUUUCUCUCUCCAGUGCCAGUGUUGGAGCGUGUUUCUGCAGCUGGCAGGACACCUGGGACAAGGGGGCAGAGAUCUGUGCUUAGGGGUGAGCAGCGGAGUCAGCCUUUAGUAGCCCAUGGCCCUGGGUAUUGGAGGGAACUGUUGGGGACAGUCACGGCCUCCCCGUUGCCAUACUGGCUGACACAUGGGGUACUGACAGACACCGAGAGGUUUGCAAGUCUCAGUGUUCAGUCUGCUUUUCUGUUCAGCCCCCUGUGCUUGGUUUGUCAUUUUAAUCAUGGAGGUACGGGCUGGAAUUUUUGGCAGUUAUUGUUAUCGGUGAUAAUCAUCUAUCAUCUCAGCAUUGGCUUGGGGUCUAUUUGUGUUCUCACUCAGCAAUUACAUUUUAUGCUUGGAAGUGAUUGCUAAAAUGCUUACUUUCCAACACUGAUUCUUUUCCUGUGCAGCACAAAAUUAGACUGUUUUGUGGAAGCAGAAAUGCUUGGUAGUGGUAGGACUCUGUGCGCUUGCCUAGCAUGCCAUUGCAAGGACAAUCAGCAUGGAAAACCAGGACUUUGAGCUCUGCAUCUCUGCUUGAUCUUGACUUGCUGGUUGAUACCAGGAGCUGCUUCCCAGAUCCUCUUGAUUUGGUUCGAGAAGUUAGAAUUACCUGUAAUCAUUGGUAAACCAAAAGUCCCGAAUGGAGAACAAUGACAGGCGCCCACCGAGAAGGAGAAUCCCGAGGGUCCCGUUUCGGUUACGCAGUGAGAGAGCAGAGGGUGGGAGAGAGCUUGCAAGGUCAUCUCUGUUUGGAAGCAGUUCUCUUGGCCUUUAGCCCUCCCCUCAGCAGCUGACUUCCAAAUGGAAAACAAUGCUCUGUCAUGUCUCCAUGUUAAAAUGACUGGAAAUUGAACGUAGGGGGAUUUAGCAUGUGAUUACUUUUUUUAGAUAGGAUUUUCUUCACAGCUGAAUUAGAGUGAGCCCUUUUUCUUCCAAACCAGAUGGUAGGUGAUUCAGUACUUUUAGCAGUAGAAAAACGAUUUGUUUUCAUUCCCCAGUAGCUGGUGUGAAUGUACUUUUCUUUAUCUAUUUACGGAUUAUGUAAACACGUUUUACCAGCAUUUAGGUACGUACUUUACAGGCCUAAUCCUGCAAAGAGUCCUGUGUAUGCAGUGCCCAGCACAUGCAAAGGGUUGCCAUUGCUUACAGAGAACUGUAUUUGUAUUUUUAUGUGUACACUAAAAUUUAAGAUGCUUUAUGGAGAUGCGAACAGAACCAUAAGCCCACAGAACGGUUGAGUGACUUUGUGCACUUCUUUCACCUAACAAAAUCUAUGAGGUCCUUCUUGGUGUGCAGGGGGAAUAAGGGCCUCAUUCGUGUGACUUUUUGGAUUUGCCUUCUACUGAUGCAACUAGGGGGGCUCAGCACAGAAUAUCUUCUACCCUGCUGCUCUGGUAUGGGGGCAGAAAAGCAACAUUGGGAAGGGAUUCCAUUAAUAGUGAGA